AACUUCCUUGUUCCAUAACAGCACUCACAAAUACUUUUUCACAUUGCCCCUGCAUUUUCAUUGGUCUAUACGCCACCUUCCGCUCUAUAAAUUAUGUUAAUUAUUCUCCCUCUUUCAAACAGUGACCUGGGGGUGUGUGAUGUCAACGGCUGUUCUGCUCUUCACUAUGCUGGACAGAUAGAGAGCCCCCUGAAAGACGAACUCAUCCACAUGAUGGUUGAGUCCCUCAGACAGCCAGGUAUAACAUGACUUUCAACCAAGAUGGUCAGACAAUGUUGUUACUACAGUUAUUGCUGUGUAAUUACGUGACAUGACUUUCAACCAUGAUGUUCAGACAAAUCCAAAAUAACUCAGAUGUUUGGUAUGGUUUGAUAUAUUCUGUUUACUUUUGAGGAUAUUCCAGGGAAAUACUUCUCUAUCCAAGUACAAACCAUGUGAUCUGUUGGUUAUACACAUACUAGUACCACACCAAAUCUGCUUGUUUGUGGCAUUUCGUUCUUAUGACAUCACAGCACUCAGGUCAUGUACAACAUGAUGCCUUUAAAGUUUUCAAAUCGAUCCUGACAGAAAUGCAAUACAGAUUUGAUUGAUCUAUUGGCUUAGUGUAUUGCACAGGAGGCUGCUGAGGGGAGAACUGUUCAUAAUAAUGGCAGAAACAGCACAAAUGGAAUGCCAUUAAACACAUGGAAACCAUGUCUCUGAUACCAUCCCACGUAUUCCGCUCCAGCCAUUAUCAUGAGCCCCUUCUGCCCAAUUAAGGUGCCACAAACCUCCUGUGGUGAGUAGUAUUGAUUUAGUCGAUCCGUGCAGUGUGUACUUGCGUAAUCAAAUGUUUUCCUGAGCUUGGAGGGGUCAAAGCCAGCACUCAUAUGGGAAAUCCUGGUGAAUUCCUGAGGGGCUGAGUGUGUGAGAGGGCCUUGUUUCCUCUUGUGCUCACUGACUCCACUAACUCCACACCUCCGUCUCAUUCUGCCCUGGUCAACAAACAGCGCCCACGCCCCUGGACCUGCAGUGCUUCCACCCUGAUGAGCUGAGAGUAAACUCCCCCAGCCCCUCUCCCUCUCUAACCGAUGAGCUGAGAGCAGCAAACUCCCCAAGCUCCUCUCUCUAUCUGACCCAAAAUGUCCUCAUUCAGACUGCUGCCAGCACAGAGGAUUUGCUGGAGGCUCCAGAGUGCGUUCCUUUAUCCGACCAUCAUAAAGCCAUCAAUCAAGAUAAGGGGCUCUCCCUCUCCUUCCAGAGCGCAAUGGAUACCCUGAUGGACAUGAGGCAAGCCUACCAAGAUCUGGGGAAGGGUAGCAGGUGGGCACGCACACACGCUCCAUGUUAAUUAGAACUGCUAUAAAUUAAUACAAAAAUACAGUAACCACAGGGCAAAUUGAGUCAGGAACACACCCAAACACCAACACCUGUUCAUACAGACACACAAACACUUAUGCACACAUCCUUGCUAUUAACAAGCGCUCUCACACACAAACAAAUCCACCGUAUGCUAGUCCCUCCUCCUUGUGUGUACUUCACCCCCACACCUCCCUCACUUACAUAAAUACAGAAUAAGAAGUGUCCAGUUACACAGUCAGGCCAGCAGUCAUCAUGUCAAGGGCAUGCCAAUCUUCCCAAACAGAGAACAGAGGGAGACUGAGAGAAACAGAGGGAGGGAGGGAGAAACUGAGGGAGAGUCUACUUUGCUUUCUGAAACAGAUCAUUGUCUGUAGGGCUCUUACUGCUGAAAGAGGUCCAAAGGGAUCCUGGGAGAAUAAACCCCUUUGAAAAGUUCUCACUUUACAGCAUCAGCCCCUGGCCAGCGUCCUUCUGCUGUGCCCUCUGUCCUGCAUCCACACAGAACAGAGAAUGUCCAUCCCUUUUAAUUGCAGUGUUCAUUAUUAGGAAAUUAUAUAAGAUUACCCUAUGUCUCAGCU
ensembl:lncRNA